rnacentral:lncRNA from 1 species
CAUGAUCUUCAUGGCCUAUGAAAGUUGGACAAUUAGAUGGAAGUUCCACAGAAACGGUAUCACCUCCUACAUCAGCAUCGCUUGUGAAUAAUUGUAAUUCAUCAUCAUCCACGGUACUAAAUCUCUCUUCUACAUUGAAUUUUUCUUCAUAAUGCGGAAUACCCGCUUCUGCUUUGACGGAUUCAAGUUGGGGAACAUACUCAUUUAAAUCAGAUAAUUCAUCGUCAUCCACGGCACUAAAUCUCUCUUCUACAUUGAAUUUUUCUUCAUAAUGUGGAAUACCCGCUUCUUCUUUGACGGAUUCAAGUUGGGGAACAUCCUCAUCUAAAUCAGAUAAUUGCUGCUCUAUUAGGCCAUGCAUCUGGGGAGCAUCCUGCUGCUCUGUUAGGCCACGUCUAUGUGGAGCAUCCUGCUGCUCUGUUAGACCAUGUGCCUGCCAAGCAUCCUGCUGAUCUAUUAGGCCAUGUGUCUGUGGAGCACCCACUACAGGCUCUUCUGAGAUAUGACUCCGUGCAGCAUCC